rnacentral:rRNA from 1 species
GAUGAACGCUAGCGGCAGGCUUAACACAUGCAAGUCGAGGGGUAUAGUAGCAAUACUAGAGACCGGCGCACGGGUGCGUAACGCGUAUGCAAUCUACCUUUCACAGAGGGAUAGCCCAGAGAAAUUUGGAUUAAUACCUCAUAGUAUAGUAUCUUGGCAUCAAGGAACUAUUAAAGUCACAACGGUGAAAGAUGAGCAUGCGUCCCAUUAGUUAGUUGGUAAGGUAACGGCUUACCAAGACUACGAUGGGUAGGGGUCCUGAGAGGGAGAUCCCCCACACUGGUACUGAGACACGGACCAGACUCCUACGGGAGGCAGCAGUGAGGAAUAUUGGACAAUGGGCGCAAGCCUGAUCCAGCCAUGCCGCAUGCAGGAUGACGGUCCUAUGGAUUGUAAACUGCUUUUGUACAGGAAGAAACACCCCGACGUGUCGGGACUUGACGGUACUGUAAGAAUAAGGAUCGGCUAACUCCGUGCCAGCAGCCGCGGUAA